UAUGGCCAUAUCAUGUUGAAACAUUGGUUCCCCUGUACGAUCACUGAAGUUAAGUAACAUUGAACCUGGUCACUACCUAGAUGGGUGACUGCUUGGGGAUACCAGGUGUUGUAAG